AGCUCCAAUAGCGUAUAUUAAAGUUGCUGCUGUUAAAAAGCUCGUAGUUGGAUUUCUGAUAUAACAUAUCUGUCCCGUCGUGGUUACACGUAUGAGUGACGGAAUAUGUUUAUCUGUCUUGUAUGUGUGUUUAUAUUGUGAAAGCAAUAUAAAUAACUAUACAUCUUUUACUUUGAACAAAUUAGAGUGUUUCAAGCAGGCAUUAUGCCUUGAAUACAUGAGCAUGGAAUAAUCAUCGAGGACUUUUAGUUCUAUGUUGAUUGGUUCUAGAACUAUAGUAAUGAUGGAUAGGGAUAGUUGGGGGUGCUAGUAUUCCAAGGCCAGAGGUGAAAUUCUUGGAUUCUUGGAAGACUCACUUAGGCGAAAGCAUUCACCAAGGAUGUCCUCA
rnacentral:rRNA from 1 species